rnacentral:rRNA from 1 species
UUCCAGACUCCUACGGGAGGCAGCAGUGGGGAAUUUUGCGCAAUGGGGGAAACCCUGACGCAGCAACGCCGCGUGCGGGACGAAGGCCCUCGGGCUGUAAACCGCUUUCAGCAGGGAAGACGUCGACGGUACCUGCAGAAGAAGCUCCGGCUAACUACGUGCCAGCAGCCGCGGUCAUACGUAGGAUCCGAGCAUUAUCCGGAGUGACUGGGUGUAAAGAGUUGCGUAGGUGGCAUAAUAAGUAGCUAGUGAAAUCUGGUGGCUCAACCAUUCAGACUAUUAGCUAAACUGUUAAGCUCGAGACCGUUAGGGGUAACUGGAAUUUCUAGUGUAGGAGUGAAAUCCGUAGAUAUUAGAAGGAACACCAAUAGCGUAGGCAGGUUGCUGGGACGGUUCUGACACUAAGGCACGAAAGCGUAGGGAGCAAACGGGAUUAGAUACCCCUGUAU